AUCCAACUCACGAGUCCCAAAUAGGACGAAACGCGCGUCCCAGAU
rfam:Schistosoma mansoni strain Puerto Rico chromosome 3, complete genome